UUGUAGGUAGUACAAGAACUGAAAAAUAAUUUUUGGUUGCCAGUAUACCUGUAGUCGUUGCACUGAUCAGUCGAUAGUUUUGUGAUAAAUUAUUUCUCAAGUGAAUUAAAUUAUUAACCAUGGGACGUGAUUCUAGAAAGGUUUCAAGAGAACUUCGGAGUUCUGAAAAAAUUAAUAAGUCGCGUUCAGUCAAAAGAAAGAAUGUUUUUAAUCCGAAAACAGCCGAACGUGAUGAAAGUAUUCAGAGUACAUCUUCUAAAAAAUUAAAACAAAACACUGAAGAUGAUGUACCUGAAGACAGCAGUACUGAAUUUCGAAUAAUAAAUUUUAUUCAGGUAUUCACUGCAAUUUCUGCUCUUAUAAAAUGUAAAAAAUGUGAUGGAAAUGUAGUGUUUCAAACAGCAAGUACACGUGGGCUGGGAUUCAAAAUUGUAGUUGCAUGUAAUAACUGUGGAAAUGAAUAUAUUCCUUCCUGUUCUUUCGUUGGGCAUUCUUAUGAAAUAAACAGACGUUUCAUUUUUGUAAUGAGAAUACUAGGAAUAGGAUACGAAGGAUUGUGCAAGUUUUGCGGCCUGAUGGACAUGCCGUCUUUUUUAGAUAAAUCUACGCAUACAAUUUUACUGAAACAGAUUUUGAAUUGUAGUAAAGCCGUCGCAGAAACCUUCAUGACGAAAGCUGUGAAUGAAGAAAAGCAAGCAAUGCCAACAACUGAAAAUGAAGAUAUAAAUCAUCUAACUGUAUCGGGAGAUGGAACCUGGCAAAAACGGGGAUAUACAUCGUCAUUUGGAGUUUCUUCUAUAAUUGGCUAUUUUACUGGAAAGAUUCUUGACAUAAACAUUAAAAGUGCAUAUUGUAAGCUAUGUGAGUAUUGGAAAAAAAAACAAAUACUGUUGAGUUCGAGGAAUAGUAUCAAUCGCAUGAAGAUGUGUGUUCUGCUAAUCAUCAAGGGUCUUCUGGGAAAAUGGAGGUGGAUGCGAUGGUCGAAAUGUUUUCGUAUUCUGAAACUAAAUAUGGAGUUAAGUAUGCCAACUAUAUUGGUGAUGGUGACUCCAAGACCUAUUCAGGAAUUAUAAAAUCAGAUCCUUACGAAAAUACAACUGUAAAUAAAAAGGAAUGUAUAGGGCAUGUCCAAAAGCGGAUGGGGAGUCGAUUACGUACGCUGAAGAGUAAACAAAAAGGUCUUGGUGGUCGAGGUAAGCUCACAGGAAAAUUAAUAGACAAACUAACUGUGUACUAUGGUUUAGCAAUACGCCGGCAUUGUGAUUCUAUUGAAAAUAUGAAAUCUGCUAUAAUGGCAACCUUUUAUCACUACGGCUCGAGUGAUGAAAAACCGAAUCAUGAUAUGUGUCCAAAAGGCGAAGAAUCUUGGUGCUCUUACCAGCGCGCUGAAGCAAGAGGAGAGCUUGAUACCUUUUCUCACGAUUAUUCUCCUUUACCUUCUGAUGUUUUAAAAGCUAUCAAGCCUAUAUACGAAGAUCUUAGUAAUGAAAAUUUACUUUCAAGAUGUGUAGGUGGAUUCAAUCAGAAUAAUAAUGAAAGCUUUAACCAACUAGUAUGGAAAAUAUGCCCAAAAACGUCUUGAUGAAUACACUAGGACUUAAUUGUGGGCCUAAUUCUCAUCGGUAUGCAGAAAGAAUGGAUGCUGCACGUAUCAAAGUAGCAGAUAAGCGCGCUAAUGAUAACACCCGAGAAGGUCGAUUGCAACGUAGGCACCAGCAAAUCGAUAUUUUGGAAGCUGCUAUGUCGGCUGAAGAGCUAUUAUAUGGUCCAGGAAUAGAUGACUCAGUAUGAAUCUCCAAGGACUUAUGAUGAUCACCGCAAAGGACUUCGGGAGGAACGGGCUCUACAAAAACAGCGAUAACUUUUUGAAUUAUUAAUUUUUUUUUUUGAAAUUUUCGUGAAGUCAAAUCGAAACGUGUUCUAAUAAAGCUAUGUUUUUAUUUUUGUCAAAUAAAGUAAUUAACUACAAAAAAAAAAUUAUUGAAAAUCAUCAUUUUUUCAUACCCCUGAGUACCCCU